GACGAACCGUGCGAACGUUGUUCGGAAUCACUGGGCUUAACGGGCGCGUAGGCGGUCUGCCAAGUCCGGGGUGAAAGCCCCCAGCUCAACUGGGGAAGUGCCUUGGAUACUGGUGGACUCGAGCGAGGCAGGGGUCGUGGGAACUUCCGGUGGAGCGGUGAAAUGCGUUGAUAUCGGAAGGAACGCCGGUGGCGAAAGCGCACGACUGGUCCUCUUCUGACGCUGAGGCGCGAAAGCCAGGGGAGCAAACGGG
rnacentral:rRNA from 1 species